CCUACGGGAGGCAGCAGUAGGGAAUCUUCCACAAUGGGCGAAAGCCUGAUGGAGCAACGCCGCGUGGGUGAAGAAGGUCUUCGGAUCGUAAAACCCUGUUGUUAGAGAAGAAAGUGCGUGAGAGUAACUGUUCACGUUUCGACGGUAUCUAACCAGAAAGCCACGGCUAACUACGUGCCAGCAGCCGCGGUAAUACGUAGGUGGCAAGCGUUAUCCGGAUUUAUUGGGCGUAAAGGGAACGCAGGCGGUCUUUUAAGCCUGAUGUGAAAUCCUUCGGCUUAACCGGAGUAGUGCAUUGGAAACUGGGAGACUUGAGUGCAGAAGAGGAGAGUGGAACUCCAUGUGUAGCGGUGAAAUGCGUAGAUAUAUGGAAGAACACCAGUGGCGAAAGCGGCUCUCUGGUCUGUAACUGACGCUGAGGUUCGAAAGCGUGGGUAGCAAACAGGAUUAGAUACCCUUGUAGUC
rnacentral:rRNA from 1 species